UCCCCAAUAGCUCAGUUGGUAGAGCGAUGGACAGUUAAUCCAUGUGUCACUGGUUCGAGCCCAGUUUGGGGAGCCA
rnacentral:tRNA from 1 species